GGGGUUUCGUUGGCUUCAGGCUGAAGAGGAACUUCCCCAGCUUGGUUCCCCAGAUCUGUCGUGGGCUGGCUGCUGCUGGGCACGGUCACCCGGUCUUUUCCUAGGCUCCCUUAGACCUGUUGCUGCGGCUUCUCUGGAGGGGACCUGCUCCUGCGGCUUCUCUUGGAAUGGACUGUGCUCCUUCUUCCUUCUACCACUCAUCCCUUUGCUCAGAUGCUGCUCUCCUGCUGUUUGUCCAGCCCCCUCUCCCCUGCACACAGGAUUCCUGUGCUCCCCGCCCUUCCCAUGGGUGCAAAUCCCUGCUUUCCUGUGCUUCUUCCUCACUGAUGGGAAGCUAAGGGCAGGGUCAUCUCUCACGUGAUGUUGCUUCCUGUGUUGAGGACUGCAUCUGACUCACUACAGGUUUGGAGAAGAGCAUCGUCCUGGCUUGGGGGCCUCCCUGGUGAUAACAACACGGUGCCCACCAUGAGGGCAAGAAAGAGUUCCUGGGAGCAGGAGGGCUACAAGCCAAAGAUGAGUGUAUCAUGUCUGGUCAUCCACACUCUCACUUUUCAAAGGUGAUCUUCUCCCUUUCCCUGGACACUUGAAUCGGGUCUUAUCUGAACGCGCUGGCGUCUUGGGCAGGCUGCACAUCAGGAUUGGUUCUGAUUAGUGAAAGCAGUCUCCUCCUGUCCCCAAGUCCAGGAGAGGGUAAAUGAGGGGGACAGAGCUGUGGCUGUGCCUCUCCCUGUGGGAUGGGCUUGCCGCAGGGGGUUCCUUCCCCAGUGGGCUGUUGCUGCAUUUCAGACCUUUGCAAAGGAGAAGCAGAUCUCACCUGCUCUUUUUCUGGUCUUCGACCAUCCACUCCUCAUAGGAAUUGCUUUAUUUAUUGCUCCUCUUAUUAUGAAUUUCUCUGCACAGACCUGAUUCUUUGGCUGGAUCGUAAGCUCCUCGACAAUGGGUACUGCAUCUUUUUAUCCCCUCCUUCUAUAAGAGUUUCCUGGCUAGAAGAAUGGAUGCUGGGUGACCCAAGGCUGCCCGGUUUCCUCGGAGCGCCUCACUGCGCCUGCCUCCCUGCAAGCCCACAUUUUAAAACACUUCACCUGUGUCUCGAUUUCAGUCAAGUGGAACAUUCUGUUGACAGGAUGGGAAGGCCUGUGGCAAUUUCCUCCAUGCAACAUUCAGGAUCGCUCCAAGUUUUCCAUUUUAGCGAGUCCUCCCCCCGGCCCCUUGCCCCGAGCUCUGCACCUCGCUUGCCUUCCGAAAUUGCUUUCCUGUGGCUUUUGCUAAUGGUCUCAUACCUUGAUGCCAGAGAGACAAACUUAAUGGAAGAAAAGAGAAGUGCAGAGGAAGUCGCCUCUAAGUGAACUCCAAGCUUGGGGGUGGGGAAAUGGCUUGGUAGGAAUAUUUUCCCUUAGAUUGAUGCGGUGUCAAAAUAUGAGGCAAGUUUCUUACACAUUCACUUCUCUGCUGUUUUGUUCUUAUUUUUUUGGUUUUGUCUUUUUAGGGCUGUACCUGAGGCAUAUGGAAGUUCCUGGGCUAGGGGUUGAAUCGGAGCGGCAGCUGCCAGCGUACAGCACAGCCACAGCAAUGUGGGAUCUGAGCUGUGUCUGCGACCUACACCACAGCUCACAACAAGGCUGGAUCCUUAACCCACUGAGCGAGGCCAAGGAUCGAACCUGUGUCCUCAUGCAUACUAGUUGAGUUCAUUACUGCUGAGCCACAUGGGAACGUCCUAAACAAAAACUUUAUAACCCAAUUGUCUAUUAAUUUCUUUAAGGGGACAUAAGAGUUCAUCUCCUCCAGUAGUCUAAGAGCAAAUUAAGGGUGAGGUUUGCACUUUGAUUGGUCUCCACCUCCCCAAGAUUUCUUGUUAUUUCCGUGUAGUAGGCAUUCAGGAAACGUUGACCUGCUGUUAAAUGGGCGGGGGGCCUCUUUUCCACCUGGGAUUCCUUCUGUCCUGUGGCAUUAGGGCCAGAGCAACAACCGCCAUCUCCAUAGCAACAGUGGAGGUAAUGGAGAGGAAUAAGACUGCAAAUUCCAAGUCUCCAAAAAAGAAUGCGACUGUUUGGAGCCACAACAAUGAGGUACAGCAGAUGAAAGAAGGAUGAUGGGAAGCAGAAUUAGCAGGAAGCCUUAGGUCAGCGCUUAAUCCCCAAAGAGUCCACUGCCCAUUAUCUUUGUAAAUCAAGAACUCUGAAUGUCAAGGGCUUUACCACCUCCCAAAGGUUCACACCAGCAGUUGAGCGCAAUAGAACUUCUGAAAUAUGGGGAGCUAUUAUUAGAGUCACUGCAGCCUUUUUGUUGUCAUUUUGUAUCAGCAUUUCACAGGAGCUGUGCUCUUUGAUCUCCAGACUGUCUUUGGCUCCCUCUUGGUCUGAAGUCCGGAUUUAAAUAUAAGGGGGAGGGGUAUAAACCAGAUGGCCGCCUUGCCGCUGUGAUCUGUAGAGAUGGCAGGCCUCUGACAACUUCCUUUCUCCCCAGAGUUCCACUUUUGGGUAGUGCAGAGCUGCGAAUUCGCUUAUUGAUCUUGAAACCGAAAGAGUUAGUUCCCAGUCGCUGCAAUUGACAAAGGCUUUUGCAGCUCAUUACCCACCAGACUACGUGGCACAAUUCAUUAAAAUUCUGUUUCAUUGACUGCAUUUGUAAAUAGGCUUGGGGAAGUUUAUCACUUUCUGCCUCUUGCAGAGCUUUCCUUCAAUGAGUGCAUUUUUUUUCUUCUCCUCUUUCCCGAUAGAAAAAGUCUGCAGUAAUUUACCACAAGAUGUGUUAUCAUUUAAAUGCAAACGAAAAUGAAAUACUGACUGGGAAUCAUAGGUUCCUAGAAUUCCAGCCCUCCCGCCCCGCACCCUUUCUAUUUGCUGCUAUCUGAUUAUGUGUGGGUUAUUUUAAUAAAUACAUUUGCUUC
rnacentral:lncRNA from 1 species